GGAAUAUUGGACAAUGGGCGCAAGCCUGAUCCAGCCAUGCCGCGUGCCGGAAGACGGCCCUAUGGGUUGUAAACUGCUUUUAUACGGGAAGAAACACCCCCUCGUGAGGGGGCUUGACGGUACCGUAGGAAUACGGAUCGGCUAACUCCGUGCCAGCAGCCGCGGUAAUACGGAGGAUCCAAGCGUUAUCCGGAAUCAUUGGGUUUAAAGGGUCCGUAGUUGUACAAUUAAGUCAGGGUUGAAAGUCUGCAGCUCAACUGUAGAAGUGCCUUUGAUACUGGUUGUCUUGAAUUAUUGUGAAGUGGUUAGAAUAUGUAGCGUAGCGGUGAAAUGCAUAGAUAUUACAUAGAAUACCGAUUGCGAAGGCAGAUCACUAACAAUAUAUUGACACUGAUGGACGAAAGCGUGGGUAGCGAAC
rnacentral:rRNA from 1 species